UACGGGGGGGGCAAGCGUUGUUCGGAAUUACUGGGCGUAAAGGGCUCGUAGGCGGCCAACUAAGUCAAACGUGAAAUCCCUCGGCUUAACCGGGGAACUGCGUCUGAUACUGGAUGGCUUGGAUUUGGGAGAGGGAUGCGGAAUUCCAGGUGUAGCGGUGAAGUGCGUAGAUAUCUGGAGGAACACCGGUGGCGAAGGCGGCAUCCUGGACCAAUAUUGACGCUGAGGAGCGAAAGCCAGGGGAGCAAACGGG
rnacentral:rRNA from 1 species